rnacentral:miRNA from 1 species
AGUGAGGGACAGAUGGCAAGUCUCAAUCUAUAUUGUCUGCCUUUAUGUCUAC